UUUGCUGGUCAGUGAAUCUCUUGGUCAGUCUGUGCUAUAGAUAGACGCACCGUUCGCUUUAAUGACUGAAAAAAGUUAGCAUGCAUGCUUUCUAUUCAGCAUUCAUUGAGUUGGCAUAUGAGAUGACACACUGGCGGAGGAGCCCAGUGGGCAAGGUGUGGCAGCCGCCACACCUUGAUUUGACACCAAUAUAUAUAGUGUUACUAUUCAUCAUCCAGGAUGCAGAAUAAGUUAUUCUUCACCCGAGGUAAUCUUACGAUCAUUUUAUAAUUAAAUUACGUUUAGAAUUCAAAUAGUUACAUUCCUAUUGAUUCACUAUGUAAAAUUUGACAUAAAAAAUAAAAAUAUAGGUCAUAAGACAAGAAGAUUUGUAAUUUAUGUGUAUUUUAGACUAUAUUUUUACGUUUGUAAUUUUACGUAACAUAAAAUAUUUUUUACGGCGAUUAUAUAUUUUCUUACGGUCUCUUUUUACGUCGAAAAUAAGACAAAACUUACGGAACGUAAAAUUACGGUGCAUUGAUGGUAAAAUAGAGGGGGGUGAAGAAUAACUAUUCCUCAACCAGGGUGAUGAAUAGCACGACCCUAUAUAUAUAUAAGCAUAUACUUUUCUUCAUGUAGAUAUCUAAACAUAUACUGCUUGUUAGUUUUAGACCACGCUAGAUCGAUUCACCCAAACAAAGCUAGAUGAAGCAUAUAAGUUACUCCCUCCAUUCCACAAUGUAGUGCUUCCUCUAUUCCCGUGCUUCAACUUUGACCGUAAAUUUAACUAUUAAGACCGAUUGCGGCGGGAUCAAAAAUUAUAUUAGUGAAUUCGUAUUCGAAAGAUGUUUUCAAUUAUAUAAUUUUUUCUCCCGCCGCAGUUGGUCUUAUUUGUUAUAUUUAUGGUCAAAGUUGAACCUCGGGAAGCGCGGGCGCCCUAUAUUUUGGAAUGGAGGGACCUCGGGAAGCACACAAGCAGGCAGCUUGAUUGGUGUGCUGCCCAGCACAUACCCAUCUUACUACGUAGACGUACGGGAACCAGCUCGCUUCCGCUGCACAACGAUCAGAUCGAUUCUCUCCACGGCUUGCUCCUGAUGGAACUUGUGACUAGGCGAUCCAAAAACAGAACUUAUAAAAUUUUGUUGAUGCGUGCAACUUGUAUUUUUUUUGACUACCAACACGACGCGACCCAAUGUUAGGUUUAAGCGCAUCUUCAAGUGAAGAUGUAUAUGCAAAAAUAAAUAUCUCUGAGGCUAAAAACACCUCCCCAACAGAUGGUGUUGAUGCAAAAAAAACUGUAUAUUCACCUUUCGAAAAUGUAAACUACAACCCCUCACGGUGCAAAUUUGCUUCUCCACCUCUAGGAGAUGUAAAACUGACGGCAGCACGCCAACCGUCUUCAUUUCACUUCCGUCAGUUCGCCCGUCCGUGGUUGUUGCCCUGAAACGCGCCGCCGUCGCCCGUCGGCCCAUACCCGACCCCGCCACCGGCCGCGCAGUUGUAGCCGCCGACGACCCGCCGAUUUGAGUCCGCUACGCUGAUGACUGCCUGCCUCCGCCGCUAGCGAUUUGUGCCCGAAAACGCCGCCGCCGUCGCCCGUUCGUCCAUCCCUAACUCCGUCGCGACCUAGCCGUGCCACUGCAUGCGUCUUAUAGAUGUCAAUAAAAGCUUUAGUGCAGUGUGAAUUGACUAUUAUGUUUUUGCAUUAAAUUUUUUAGGAGGCAUCAAUUUUGUUUAGUUGACAGUUUGCCACAUCUUAAUUUUUUUUCGUCCUCCGCCUCUGAGAUGACAUAAAUGUGUUUUUGGGUCAUUGUGUUGCAUUUCUUAUCUAUGCACUUUAAAAGGCUACAGAAUCAACCAAUAAU
rnacentral:lncRNA from 1 species